CCCUAAAACCGCUCCCAGUUCGGAUUGCAGGCUGCAACUCGCCUGCAUGAAGGCGGAAUCGCUAGUAAUCGCCUAUCAGCAUGGGGCGGUGAAUACGUUCCCGGGCCUUGUACACACCGCCCGUCACGCCAUGGAAGCCGGGGGCACCUGAAGUCGCUCGCCCAACCCCUUAUGGGGAGGGAGGCGCCUAGGGUGAACCCGGUGACUGGGGCGAAGUCGUAACAAGGUAGCCGUACGGGAACGUGCGGCUGGAUCACCUCAUUUAA
rnacentral:rRNA from 1 species